rnacentral:rRNA from 1 species
GACGUAGGGGGCAAGCGUUGUUCGGAAUUAUUGGGCGUAAAGCGCUCGUAGGCGGGAUUGGAAGUCCGUGUUGAAAGACCUCGGCUCAACUGAGGGACCGGCUCGGAUACUCUAAUUCUUGAGGCAAUCAGAGGAUGAUGGAAUUCCCGGUGUAGCGGUGAAAAUGCGUAGAUAUCGGGGAGGAACACCAGUGGCGAAGGCGAUCAUCUGGGGUUGUUCUGACGCUGAGGAGCGAAAAGCUAGGGGGAGCAAACGGG